UGGUCUGGCAGACAAUAGCAACAAUGAGAACAGCCAAGGUGGUCUUCCAAUCUAUGAAACAAUCCAACAUGUUGCACCAAAGAGGAAAGUGAUGGAUACCGUGUAUGACAAACUGUCACUAAGCAACAUGGACCCGUCUGCACUGUCUAACCCCUGUGAGCUGGUAGAGUGAAUAAGCAUCAACACUCCUCAAGACCACCUGCGAGGCAUGGACUGGUAGAACAGAACUUGAUGAAUAUUGACUUCACAUGCACUUUUUCCUUUAAGUUGUUUUUCCUCUGCAAUGUACACUGUAACUUGAUAGUGUUUCCUGUUGUGGUGAUACCAGAGAUUGUAUAUAUAUAUAGAGAGAUACGCCAAGGUAGUGGGUUGCUCUGGGUGCCAAAUGUGAACAGGGUUCCGGUCUGCUUAAAGGGGCGUGUGACAUCCGCUUGACCUGAAAUAAAAAGUUUGUUUUUCCUCAAAAUUCAAACAGUAGACCCACAAGCAUUAGGCUUUGCUUGAUUGUAGAUUCAAGUAGGCCUACGCCUAGACCCUCAACAACCCCAGAAAGUUACAAUGACCGAUUUCUUGUAUAAAAUCCAUGUGUGUCAUCAAUUUUAAUUGAACAGUAGGCUACGUGUGUGUAUAAGAGGAUGUAGUUUGUUACUUUGAAACGUUACCACUUACGUUUGUACCAAAUAAAUAGCUAAGAGUGAUGCUGUGUGUGCUCAUAUUGACGUGUGCAUGUUUAGUUAAACAAGACUUUUGUAAAGUGCAGUAACCGAUGUAUAGCCUAGGUAUGUGUGAUACAGUAUGUAUUGUACUG